CUGUGGAUAUGUAACAGUUAAUGAGACUUGCGUUCACAAUGAGGUCAUGGCCCAGUAUUUUAUUUCGUUAAACGAAAAAACUGAAAUGUUUUGAUGCGUAAAUUUAAAGAAACAUUUGGUAUUUGGGAAGAAAAGAAAUUUUCCAUCACGACCAUGCCCCUGCUCGCUCAUCCGUUACUGUUGAUGAAAUAUUAACUGAACUACAUACGACGUAUUCACCUGAUCUGGCACUCUCUGAUUACUUUAUGUUUCCAAACUUCAUUAAAUUACUUGAUGGGAGACAAAACCGCAAGAUGGGAGCAUAAAUUUUCAAUCGGCUCCAGUUGAAAAA